GACGAACGCUAGCUACAGGCUUAACACAUGCAAGUCGAGGGGUAACGAGAGGAAAGCUUGCUUUCCUUGUCGACGACCGGCGCACGGGUGAGUAACGCGUAUCCAACCUGCCCCCAACUAGGGAAUAACCUUGCGAAAGUAAGACUAAUACCCUAUAAUUUCCUCAGAUGACAUCUGACGAGGAAUAAAGAUUUAUCGGUUGUGGAUGGGGAUGCGUCUGAUUAGCUUGUUGGCGGGGUAACGGCCCACCAAGGCAACGAUCAGUAGGGGUUCUGAGAGGAAGGUCCCCCACAUUGGAACUGAGACACGGUCCAAACUCCUACGGGAGGCAGCAGUGAGGAAUAUUGGUCAAUGGGCGGAAGCCUGAACCAGCCAAGUAGCGUGCAGGAUGACGGCCCUAUGGGUUGUAAACUGCUUUUAUACAGGGAUAAAGUUAGCCACGUGUGGUUAUUUGUAGGUACUGUAUGAAUAAGGACCGGCUAAUUCCGUGCCAGCCGCCGCAGUAA
rnacentral:rRNA from 1 species